GUGAAACCGGUGAGGUGGAAACGGAUAGAGUCGGCGUAUCUUGCAAGUAUUCAUUUACAUUUUUAUCGUAUUGUAAUCUCUGAGCUCCAGAUUGGGACAGUUUUUACUUUAUUAUAAAAUUGAGAUGCAUUUGCUUGUUUGGUGCGUAGGGAUGUUUGAGAUAGAUUUGUGACCGCCGUUUUGAGGCCAGCUUGCUGGUACCCAAACUGUGUUAGCAUUUUUUAUCUUGGAUAUUUGAGUAUGGCUUACGGGCGUUUAUUGGUUCGAUCUGAGUGUAAGUUACGGUCGCAUGCGACACGUGCUUUUCAAUUAGUUCGGUCCAGUUAAUGCUCUCAUACUCUUUCCCUAUGUAAAAGCCGGUCAUCUAUCCGACCCGUCUUGAAACACGGACCAAGGAGUUUAUCGUGUGCGCAAGUUUUUGGGUGUUUUAAACCUAAAAGCGCAAUGAAAGUAAAUGUUCUCUUUCGAGACUGAUGUGCGAUAUUUUUUUUUCGAAAAAAUUGCAGCAUGGCCCCAUUCUAUCUGUUUACAGAAGGGUGGCGGAAGAGCGUACGCGGUGAGACCCGAAAGAUGGUGAACUAUUCCUGAGCAGGAUGAAGCCAGAGGAAACUCUGGUGGAAGUCCGAAGCGGUUCUGACGUGCAAAUCGAUCGUCUGACUUGGGUAUAGGGGCGAAAGACUAAUCGAACCAUC
rnacentral:rRNA from 1 species